rnacentral:misc_RNA from 1 species
AAAUCCAUGGGAUAUUGAAGCUGUGGCUGAGGCUUUAAAUGUUGCCAUUACAAUGACGAAUUCUGAGAAAGAACUACGUCAUGAGAAGCACCACCGCUAUGUGAGCUCUCACGAUGUAGCUUAUUGGGCUCGUAGUUUCAUGCAAGAUUUGGAGAGAGCAUGCCAAGAUCACUAUAGUAAGCGUUGCUGGGGCAUUGGCCUGGGCCUAGGUUUUAGAGUUAUUGCACUUUCACCAAGCUUUAGAAAGUUGUCCUUAGAUCACAUUGUUUCCUCAUACAGGAGGACUCAGAGAAGGGCUAUAUUUUUGGACUAUGACGGUACUGUUGUACCUCAGUCAUGUAUGGUUAAAGCUCCAAGUGCCGAAGUUAUUUCUCUUUUGAAUGCUCUAAGUAAUGACCCUAAAAACACCGUGUAUAUAGUUAGUGGCAGAGGAAGGACUUCAUUAUGCGAGUGGCUUGCACCAUGCGAAAGGCUUGGAAUAGCUGCUGAACAUGGGUACUUGAUAAGGGAUUGUAAAACUUCUGAAUGGGAUCAUUUAGAUUCUGAUCUUGAAUGGAAAGAAAUUGCGGAACCUGUGAUGCAACUUUACACAGAAGCAACUGAUGGAUCAUAUAUAGAAUCUAAAGAGAGUGCAUUGGUGUGGCACCAUUAUGAUGCAGACCCUGACUUCGGCUCCUGUCAGGCAAAGGAAUUG